AAAUCACACAAAUAACCAUUAAUUCAAUCAUUUGACAUUAUUUACCAAAUCUGAUUUUUACUGAAACAUUUCUAAUUUUGUGACAUUCAUGCAUAUAAUGUUUCAGGAUUCUGGAAUUCGUUUCUCUCACUGAACUGCAACUGUUUAUUAAAAAUUGUGAGCUAAGUUUGCUGAGAGGUUUCCAAAUGCAAUCUAUUGUCCAUUGUUUGUAGCUUAUAGCCCCUCAAGUUAAAGAGCUGAUACAUAUUUAGGUUUGGUUUGUCUCUGACACACUAUGACUGUGACUGAACAGCAUCUGUUUACUGUUGUUCUAACAAACUUUGUGUUACGGCUGUGGCCGUAUUUGCUUUUGUCCUAUCUUUUUGUUCUAUGUUGUGUGUAUUUUAUUUCUAUCAGAGUGGGACUUGGUUGUGUUUGUGGAUCUUUGUGUGUCUGAUUACUUUCAGGUGAGGUGCUGAGAAGGUGUAGCUCCCAUUGGAAGCACUUUGUGGACCUCCAGCCUGCAAGAAGGGAGCUUUGCUGUAACCUGUCCCGGUGCUCUUCUCCACCUGUUCUGAGAGAAGAACCUCAGUGUGCUGCUGCUACCAGGCCCAAAUCUGGGGGCAUAUCUUCUUGGUGUCCUGCUGUGCUUCAGAGAACACUCCACCACCAUUAGCAGUGACAUCAAGGAGAUGUUUCACCAGAGCUAAAUCAGUGUAAUGGCUGCCAGUGAUGAUCACAUCAAGGACUGGAAAAACCCUCAGACUCUGUGAGCUAAAUCAGUGUCAUGGCUGCCAGUGAUGAUCACAUCAAGGACUGGAAAAACCCUCAGACUCUGUGGUGAGUGAAGUUCCCUUUUAGGUUGAUCCAAACUUUUUCAGCCUCAAAUGUUAGAAAACAAGAAAAUCUGAAUGUCUGUUGUAAAUCUGAGGAUCUUCAUUAAAUCCAUCAUUCUGUGUCUCCAAACAUUUGAUUUCUCCAGUGACCCAGAAUCUGAGCUGCUUUAUUCACAUAGUGACUCAGACAUGAAUGAAGUGUUUGCUGCCUGAUUCUGUGCAUUUAUGUUGACAUCAUUGAUCUCAAAGUGUUUCAGUGUGAUCAGACCUGCUGUGGGUUGUGCUCUACUGUCUCUGGUAAAGAACUAAAAACAUUUCAGUAAUUUAGAAACUAAAACAUUUGUUUUAAUCUUACAAAUAGUAUUUGCUGCUAAAAGACUAAAAUCUGUUCCCAUCUUUUU